CCCAGUGGAUUGCAAAUACCUAUGUAAAAUGUAUAGGAUAAGGCAAUGUAAGUCGCUUUCGAUAAAAGCGUCUGCCAAGUGCCUAAAUGUAAAUGUUCUGUAUUUUGUAAUUACUGUAGGCUAUUUCUGCAUCUGUCCGCACUUCUUUCUUACAAUUAUUUCUUUGUUAUACAAAGAUAUUUAAUUUCGUUGUCAUAGCUUUGACAAGAACGUUAAAAAACUAUAUUUUUUGAUCAACCUCUUUAUUCCACUUGGUAUUUUUUUUCACAGAUGUAAAUUUCAAGGUAAGGUUACUAAGUCAUACUUCUUUGUUUGUAAAGAUCUUAAGUCCUGCUUAGAUGCUCUCAUUGACUCUUGCAACCCAAAAGCCCUCAAAACUUUAACGUUGUGUCAUUGACAUGAUAUUUUUCUAAUUUUGUAACGUUGUAAUAUUUGUCUCUGUUCACUCCUGGUAUUGUAUUCGUUUCAAUAAAAAAGAGGUUUUAGAGAUGUGAACGUAGCUGUAUCACUUUUAGCUCUAACCUGAGAGAUCGCGUUCGGAACAUAUUCGACGCAGAUUAACGAUAAAAUAAAUUUGUUUAAAAAUAAACGACAAUGAGUGAAUGAGUGAGUGUGUGUGCCCUGCGAUGGGUUGGCACUCCAUCCAGGGUGUAUCCUGCCUUGAUGCCCGAUGACUCCUGAGAUAGGCACAGGCUCCCCGUGACCCGAGGUAGUUCGGAUAAGCGGUAGAAAAUGAAAUGAAAUAAACGACAAAGGACGUUUAUGGCCUUGCACUCAAAGUCGGUGAGUUCAGUAUAAGUGCAUUACCACAUAUUUUACGUAAUCUGUUGCUGAACGUAACGUCAUCGCGCAGGAAAGGCCGCCAUCUUGUAUGCUACGCACAAAAGGAGACGCUUCUGUAGUGCGCAGCGACAGAGUGUCCGAUUGAAAUCUCUUGUAGGGGUUAAACUUAAUGAAGCAACGGUACGUUAAAUAGUAAAACAGUACAAACUUUAGCAACUACUCAUAUACUAUGCAGCGGCCGUCACAGCUUCAGUAGCAAACAAAAUGGCGGCCGCGAUGACGUCGUUUCCCGGACUCCGGGUCGACGCGCAAUAUGAUCACGUCUGAACUGUAAGUAAUCUAUAAUAAUACUAUAAACGAGCGCACGUCAAAUCUUUAUUUGGGUUAUUUUGAUGCACUUAUCAAUCAUAACACAUUGAAACAUUUAAAAGAAAGAUCCGUGUGCGUCUGUGUAAAAAAGGUGAAGCUACUAAAAGCUUAGGCUAUUAUGUUAGCUGUCAAUCUGGGCCCGUAUUCAUGAAAAAUCUAGUAAAAGUUUCUUAAGCAGCCGAGAAAAUGGACGAAACACGAAAAGUGAGAAGAAAUGAUGCACUUAUAUGUAAAUAUUUGCCGAUAACGAUAACCGAUGAUUCUUUUACAUUGGAAGCCGAUAACAGAUAUGUUGGCCGAUCUACAGUAUCUAGAUAUUAAUAUAACAUUUCCUAAAUCUGAAACAAAAGUCAAAAAGUGGACAACUGCUUAUAUCUCUUUUUUCCCCUGAACAUCACCAAGUCUUCUUUACACUAGUUUAAGAUUAUUUAACCUUAAAAAUUUUAUGGUAUAUUUUUUAUUCAACAAACAAAUUAUAGAUGUUCUUCCCGAGCAACCUAGAAAAAAAAUAUUAAUGGCCAUAAUAAAGUCUAACAGGUCUCAAGACAGAAGAAAUUCAGACAUUAGUCUGAUUAAAAAAUAUGUUUUUGUUCCUGUAAUUUACACAUUUAUAAAUACUGUAUCUACAUACUGUACCUACAUCAACAAUGCUUUGCCAAGUGAAUGUUCACGACAUAAGGUUACUGUAGUGUAUAUUAACUGUGAGCAGCGUCCCACUGAAGAAGUUUUACCAGAGGAAAUUAUUUAUGAUUUAUCGGCUAUAAUACUUCGGACUAAAUUUUAUUAUCGGCCGAUACCGAUAUGGCCGAUAACUAAUCCUGCAUCCCUAGUUGCAAUGCAUGUCAAUUUCCAUAUAACUUUCCAGUUUUAUCUGCUUUUUUAUUUUGAGUGUUUUUUGUGUGUGUUCAACUUUUGUUUAUCUUGGUUUGGUUUUCUUGUACAGCUGCUUUGAUGCAAUGCAAAAUGUUAAAGUGCUAUAUUAAAUUGAAUGACAGUGAGUUAAUAAGACACAACACAUAAGCUCCAGCAGGGUUCAUGUUUGUGAGUAUGGUAAGAAUUCCAAGUAGUUAUGAAUGGCAAGUUUCAAGCAGUUGCUUACAACGUAUUUGAAGCCUUCUCCGUAUGCAAGAAAAAGAUUAAACUGGGAAUGUAGGGUGUGUUUUUUAUUUUGUUAUGCAGGUCUUAAAUUGAAUUAAUAAUGGAUUUAAAAAGGUCUUAAAUUUGACUUGGUGAAACCUCAAGAAUUAUAUAAUAUAUAAUAAAAGCCUGUUUCCAAAUCAUUUUGGGUCACUUGACUCCAAUGGGAAAAAAAACUAUAAUCCAAGUCAGUGGUGACCCAAACCAGCUUUAAUUAAAAUAUUAUUUGUGUUCCAACUUCCACAACAAAGAAAUGUAUACAGGUUUGUAACAACUAGAGUCAUUUUCAGAGGCCUGUUUAGUACAGUGCACUACAGAAAAGUGUUUUGUGUCCACUAUUACUGUUGACUAACUUUAAGGGGUGCUGUAAGAUGUGUCAUGCAUUCUGACUUCUUUACAAAGUUAAACGUACUGUCUUCUCACGCUUAACACGAGAAGACGCUUAACAUCAAAAAACGAGUCGAGCGUAUUACGUAGCAUUUCUGUGCUCAAUACACUUCACUCCACUCAACUCAACUCAACUUUAUUUAUAUAGCGCCUUUUACAACACAUUGAAUACAAGUAUGAAUUCUAAAGCAGCCCCCCCGGCCAGGCAGAUAGUGCAAAACAAUAUGCAAACGGUGGUGAGGAACCCAAAACUCCCAUCGAGAAAAAAAACCUCAGGGGAACCCAGGCCCAACCAGGGGAUUCCAGUUCCCCUCUGGCAAAAGCUGCUGCCUCUGCACAAGCUCAACAGUGCUUGCACAACAAGGCUUAAUAAAAAUAUAAAAAUUAAGGAUUUAAGAUUAUCAUUAACAAUCUAAUAGCAUUUGAAAUGUUGUAGGAAAAACAAAGUUGUCGCGUCCUUUAUCCAGCUCUAUCCUCUUAGCUCUUGUCAGGUCACCGCUUCCUAUUCUCAGCUCUGCCAUCAGGUCUGGGCAUGAACUGCAUCCUGCGGUAACCUUGUAACAAAGAGACAAGACUGGCUGAGAGUAGAGUACUGUUCUGCACUCUUUGAUGCAACAAGUACAUCAUUUGUUGUUGGAUGUGUUCCUGGUUCAGGUUGAUCUAAAUAAUGCAGCCUAAAUCCUUUGAGGAUUAAUAUUAUGGAAGUGUAGUGUAUGCAAGAUUAAAAAGAUGAGUCUUUAGUCUAGAUUUAAACUGACAGAGUGUGUCUGCCUCCCGGACCGUGCAGGGAAGAAUAUUCCAAAGUUUAGGCGCUAGAUAAGAAAAGGAUCUACCACCUGCACUUGAUUUUGAAAUUCUAGGUAUUACCAACUGACAGAACGCCUGAGAGCGUAAUGUACGUGGAGGUCUGUAAUACAAUAGAAGUUAAUUCAAAUACUGCGGCGCUAGACCAUGUAGGGCUUUAUAGGUAAUAAGCAAGAUCUUAAAGUUAAUGCAAUGCUUUAUAGGUAACAAGUGCAAGGUUGACAGAACCGGGGUUAUAUGCUCAUACUUUUUUGUACGUGUAAGAACUCUGUAAAUCCACCACCGAUCUUACAGAUUUCUGAAAGUUUUUUUCUGAAAUCUAUCUUUUAUAAUUGUGAUCAAACUAAAUACUCUUCGAAGAUACGAUGUUUGCAAUACCACUCUAUAGGUACUCAAGAUUAAUAUGAGAUUGGCAGAAACCCUGUGUGUUUAGGCCGCUUAAAAAAACAUGUUCUUUAGUUUGAAAAUAUCUGGUAAAUAAAACAGUUUUCGUAUCAAUAAUACAUCAGAAUUGGAGGACAAGGUGUAAAGAUAAACAUUCACAACUCGACUAAUUUGAGUGUUUAUUAGGUGGUAGUUGUAACAUCUAAUUUUACAAAAGGUGGUAGUACUUGAAUUAAAAAGUUUGAGAACCACUGCCCCUAAAUUAUUGUUCUGUCUUUUCAAUCCAAUUUAUUUUGUUACAAUACAACAGUUUACCUUUUCAGUGUCUUUAUUUGAGGUGCACAAAUACUAAAAUAUCCUGAAUAACUAAAAUAUUAUCACAAGUGUAAAUUUUUUCUACAAUAAUACACUAUAACAAAGUGUGUGAAUAAUACGUCUCUAUUAUGAUCACAUUUUUUUCAAAGCACAUUUUAAUUGCACAUCACAUGAAGAAAGCAGUUCUAAAGCCAUGAAGACUCAUCACUACACUCAGGACUCACAGAGUCCAAUCCGGUUGGUUUAUUAUAUAGGAAAGAAGCAAUAAUAUUAGUUAUGCUUGAGGCUGUCAGUCUCUUAAUGUUCUGCCUUACAUCUCCUUUUGCAUUUGGUAUCUGGGAUGUCUAUUAUAUAUUUUGUAAUAUGUUUUAAUAUUAUUAUUGAAUAAAUUAUUAUAAAUAAUAGUUUAUCUAUAUAUAUAUAUAUAUAUAUAUAUAUAUAUAUACACACACGUUCACAAUAUUUGUAUUUUUAUAAAGCCACGGGCCUGCUUGGGUAACUCAUAUUGAUGCGUUUAUGACGUCAUGGAGCGCCAGCUGCCUCUAUAUAAGAUGCUGCCUCGCAUCAUUCUUCGUUGGUUUGUGUUCAGCGUCUACGAGAGUGUUUUGACUUCUGCGAGAUCAAGGCUCUUCCAGUGUGUGUUCUUCUCUUUGCGAUUCGUGCGUGUUUUGUGUUGGUAUUUGGAUCUAGCGAGAAGGAAGUGAGACCGGAGAGUAACCGAAAGGUGACUUAUUUGUUGACUCCUCCCGGAACGGAGGACAUCUCCACAGUUUAACUGCAUCGACUUGUUCGGAUGCACAACGCCGUGGACCAAAUCACGAUGACUACUACUGUCGCCUCUUUCAAUGACUUCGACAGCAUCCAGCCCAUUACUUUGUGGGCGGAUCUCGUUGAUGAAACCGAAUAUGAUGCGUCGGAGGUGGUCAUUCCGUCAUGGGCUAAUAUGGAUCGCCCCGUGAUGGAUGCCUUGGUUCCUGAGCCCUCAGCCAGAGGAGAUUCGAGAAUCGUGAGUUAUACAUUAUUUGACCAAAACGAUAAAUGCUCUUAAAUGUGUGACUCUGCCUGUGUAAAAACAGUUAAAGUUACUUUUAUGAGUUUGUUAUUAACAGGUUUCUACAUAAAAUCAUUUUGUUUACAUUUUGAUAUUGACCGAGUAAUGUUAUUUGUUUUCAACAGCAGAGAGUUCAGUAAGGAGAGUCUUCAGUCAGAAGAGUGACUGUCGCGUGUGGUGAAAACAAGCACCUUCUUCAUCUGAGUGAGUUGAACAAUUCUCUGGAUUUAUACACAGCUCAAAUAUCUGUAGAAACAAGCUUAAGAUUGCUAUCAUCAUUCUACCAUAAGCUUCAGAGUGAUGGCAUCUCGAGCGUCUGAGGCAAGGAAUCAGUCCAGGAGGAACAACAUUGGUUUUCCACAAGAGGAGAGGACGGGUGGAGCAAAAUUAUCAUCCAAGGCUCCCACAACUGCUUCACCAUCUUGUCAAGAUUGGCGUAGAUUACUUCCACCUGACUUUGUGAGAAGGACGGAGCGACCAGUCCGAGAUGCCUCACCACGUCAGUGAAUCAAAAAACUGUCUUGUUUACACAUUCAGUGCGUGUCUUCAGUGUAGCUCCGCCCCCUUGUUUCUC